GACGAACGCUGGCGGCGCGCUUAACACAUGCAAGUCGAACGGAAAGGCCCUGCUUUUGUGGGGUGCUCGAGUGGCGAACGGGUGAGUAACACGUGAGUAACCUGCCCUUGACUUUGGGAUAACUUCAGGAAACUGGGGCUAAUACCGGAUAGGAGCUCCUGCUGCUUGGUGGGGUUUGGAACGUUUCGGCGGUUGGGGAUGGACUUGCGGUUUAUCAGCUUGUUGGUGGGGUAGUGGCUUACCCAGGCUUUGACGGGUAGCCGGCAUGAGAGGUUGACCGGCCACAUUGGGACUGAGAUACGGCCCAGACUCCUACGGGAGGCAGCAGUGGGGAAUAUUGCACAAUGGGCGGAAGCCUGAUGCAGAAACGCCGCGUGCGGGAUGACGGCCUUCGGGUUGUAAACCGCUUUCGCCUGUGACGAAGCGUGAGUGACGGUAAUGGGUAAAGAAGCACCGGCUAACUACGUG
rnacentral:rRNA from 1 species